UCCCCAUCUUUCAGACAUGUUUGUUGCUCUGCAAUGGAAGAAGUGAGCUACUUGUCCAGCAGAGAGGAAGAAAGGAUGGAAUCACCUUCUCCCAGUAGGUCCCAUCAUGCUUUGGGUCCUUGAUCCAACCGACCUUCAGCAGAGAAGACAGAGACAGAGUGUGCUGAGGAAAGCCCCUGAAGAGCUAAACCUGAGGCCACAAGUUUGAUUAUGGGUGAAGGAUGGCCCUUUCGCUGGAGGCAGAAACCCAAGGAACCAUCAUGGACAGUGACAAACUGGGAACUCACAGCAAUACUGGAAGCUGAGUGAUCGGAGGUUCUGUGGCAGAUAUUUGCUCAAGACAGAAGCUGGCAGUGUAGCAUUCCAGCCAGUACUAUGGCUGCCAUUUAUGAAGACCCUACAGCUCUCUUCACCAGACACUGAGGCACACCUUCACAGGAGUAACCAGCCAUUCACCCUCCCAACCAGUUCCUGCCUGGAGGAUAUAAUGUAACAGACAGGAAAGCCUGAGAGAGGUUGCUGCAGGAUAGGGGUCAGACUGGUCCAGUAUCCUUCCACCAUGAGGACUCCCGGGACUUUCAGUGCACACCUGCAGGCAGUGUACAGUGGUUACUGUAUCCAGCAUCCUUCCACCUUGUGGACUCCUGGGGGUUUCAGUACACACCUGCAGGCAGUGUACAGUGGUUACUGUAUCCAGCAUCCUUCCACCUUGUGGACUCCUGGGGGUUUCAGUACACACCUGCAGGCAGUGUACAGUGGUUGCUGUAUCCAGCAUCCUUCCACCUUGUGGACUCCUGGGGGUUUCAGUACACACCUGCAGGCAGUGUACAGUGGUUGCUGUAUCCAGCAUCCUUCCACCUUGUGGACUCCUGGGGGUUUCAGUACACACCUGCAGGCAGUGUACAGUGGUUGCUGUAUCCAGCAUCCUUCCACCUUGUGGACUCCUGGGGGUUUCAGUACACACCUGCAGGCAGUGUACAGUGGUUGCUG